rnacentral:rRNA from 1 species
UGGGGAAUAUUGCACAAUGGGCGCAAGCCUGAUGCAGCCAUGCCGCGUGUAUGAAGAAGGCCUUCGGGUUGUAAAGUACUUUCAGCGGGGAGGAAGGUGUUGAGGUUAAUAACCUCAGCAAUUGACGUUACCCGCAGAAGAAGCACCGGCUAACUCCGUGCCAGCAGCCGCGGUAAUACGGAGGGUGCAAGCGUUAAUCGGAAUUACUGGGCGUAAAGCGCACGCAGGCGGUCUGUCAAGUCGGAUGUGAAAUCCCCGGGCUCAACCUGGGAACUGCAUUCGAGACUGGCAGGCUAGAGUCUUGUAGAGGGGGGUAGAAUUCCAGGUGUAGCGGUGAAAUGCGUAGAGAUCUGGAGGAAUACCGGUGGCGAAGGCGGCCCCCUGGACAAAGACUGACGCUCAGGUGCGAAAGCGUGGGGAGCAAACA